rnacentral:lncRNA from 1 species
UUUUGAAAGAAGGUAGCUCGACCUUGAGCUUGUUAAUAAAUUUUGAAAGAAAGGACUUGAUCCCUACCUUGUAAAGGAUUUCGGCAAGAAUGAACUCGACCUCGAGCUUUACCAAAAUUUAAAAUGAAAGAGCUCGACCUGAGCUUUCCAAGAUAUGAAUUGAAGGAGCUCAACUUGGAGCUUUGUUGAAAAAUUUUAAAGUAAGGGCUUGACCCCUUCCAUGUAUAGAAGUGGAAAAGAAGGAGCUCGACCUCGAGCUCCGUUUAAAAUUUUUGAAAAGAAUGAGCUCAACGAAUAGACAAUGGUUCAUAUAGGAGACAGCCAAAACUCAAUGUACGAUAAUUAUCCCGAGCCCUUGUGUCUGGGAUUAGACAGUGUAUUGAGCUUAAGGACAGUCUCGAGCCAAUGUGAGAGACUUAUCUCGAGCUCUUGUGGUUAGGAUUUGAAAAUGGAUUGAGCUCGAGGAUAGGCCCCUGAGCUCAACAUGACACAAUUAUCCCGAGCUUUAUGGCUGGGAUUUGGCAUUGGAUUGAGCUCAAGGACAGGUCCUCGAGCUUGACGUGACACAGUUAUCCAGAGCUGUAGUGGCAGAGAUUUGACAUUGUAUUGAGCUCGAGGACAGGGCCCCAAGCCCAACGUGAAAUGAUAUGCUGAGCUCUAUUCCCAUGGAUUUGAGAAUAGGUUGAGCCUGACAAGCUCGGGAUAGACUCGUAGUCGGGUUUUUUACUUGAGGCAUUGUGGGACCUAGAUGUGCUUACCCGUGGUAAGGCUUAGAAUACCUGCACGGGGUAAGGCUUGCCAUUCUUGCUCAGGGCAAGAUUUUGAUGUGCUUGCAUGGGUGCGUGGGUCAAGGCUGGAGUGCUUGCUCGGGACAAGACUUUGAGGUACUUGCACUGGGGGCAGGGCUUAGAGUCCCUGAGCAGGGCAAGACUUAGAGUGCUUGCGAUGAGCAAGGCUUUAAGUGCUUGCGUGGGACAAGGUUUUAGUGCCUGCUCGUGACAAGGCUUCGGUGCCUACCCGUGGCUUUGAUGCUUGCUUGUGGCUUUUGAUGGUGCUUGCUCGUGACAGUGCUUUGGUGCCUGUGCGUGACAAGGCUUUUGAUACUAAAUGUAUGUCUACAAGAUGAAGCAAUAGUUAAAAGCAAAUUGCUAUAUCAUAAUAAAGUAAGUGCUCAAGGACAACUUAGCAUGAAUUAUAAA